rnacentral:tRNA from 1 species
GCCUGGAUGGCUUAGUCAGUUAAGCGUCUGACUUUGGCUCAGGUCAGGAUCUCACACCUCGUGAGUUCAAGUCCCGCAUUGGGCU